AUCAUUUUUAUUUAUUUGAAUUCUGGUGCUUGAGGAAAGUCAAUUCAUCUAGCAGAGACAAAAAGAUACAGCCAAUUGGACCAGCAUUGUGUAUGUGAACCUGGACAGCAAUUCAGCUCAUACAUUGGACAGCAACCUAUGCGAUGGCCUCUUAGGAAACAUCUUCUGGUCCACUCAUCUCAUCUUGGAAAUCUGAAAUCAGACAUGCUGAGAAAAGGAGGUGGGCAGAAAUGGAGGCAGAAGUUAAAAGUGAAGACAGAGAAAAGCUCGGUAUAGAAGAGGCCAUGAGGGCUAAAGCAAAUCAGAGUUACAAGGAAGUAGAAACACACAUCAGCAGAAACCAAGAUAGACAAGAGGUCUUCAGCGUGCCGGGGAAAGGAUAAGGCCCUGAGUGGUGGGAUUCGGGUGGAUUAGAGCAGACAUAUGAAGCCAUGGCAGUGGCUGAGCACCAUGGGGAAGAUCCCUGAAUCCUGCUUGUUCUGGAGUUCUCACUUCCUGAGACCUGCUCUGCCUGGAGCCACGCCUGUCGUAGGAUCCUGAGCACAUGUAUCCUCACAAUAAGACAGCUGUUAUUUGAAAUAUCUCACGUGGAUCUCUUUUUCUUGCAAAUAAAUUCCCAAAAAAAGUGCAUAA
ensembl:lncRNA